GAAUGUGUUGGCCUAGUGUGGGGCUCCGAGGAGAGCUUGGCUGUCUGGCUGGUGUACCGGCCACCUAGCGCACCAGCAGCCACCCUGUCAGGCCUAUUGGAGGCGGUGGCCGGCUGGGCCUUGGAGUUCCCUAACCUAUUGGUAUUGGGGGACUUUAACAUCCAUGCUGAUGCCACUCCCUCCUCACAGGCUCUGGACCUGGUGUCUUCCAUGGCGACACUAGGGCUCUCCCAGUUUGUUUCGGGCCCCACACAUCAAGCAGGCCACACGCUGGAUUUGAUCUUUGGCGUAGGUAUAGAUGUGAUCAUGUCUCCUUCGAUGAAGGUGCCAUGGUCUGAUCACUACGCUCUGAAAGCCAGGAUUGACUUUCCACCCCCACCCUGCUUAGGUGGCGAGCCGAUUUGGGCUCGCCCGCAGAGGCUGAUGGACCCUGAUAGAUUCCGCCAAGCCUUGCGGGACCUUGCUCCCCUGGCGACUCAUUGACUGAGCUUGUUGAGGGCUGGAAUACCCAGCUCCUGGCAGCCAUCGAUGAGAUCGCACCUAAGCGCCCUCUGCGACCCCGCAGAAACCGGGCUCCCUGGUUUACCGAGGAGCUCCGGAAAAUGAAGCGGGACCUCAGACGGCUAGAGCGAGUAUGGCGGGGUGCCCGUGACGGAGCCUCAAGAACAUCUUAUAGGGCUUUUAUGAAAACCUACGAGAUGGCGGUGAAGGCUGCUAAGAAGUCAUACUUCUCGGCCUCCAUUGCAUCCGCAAGCUCUCGCCCGGCGCAAUUAUUUAGUAUAAUCAGGUCUUUAACGUCCCUUGAGGGACAGCCAAAUUUAAAUAACAAUUUGACACACAGCUGUGAGGCAUUUGCGAGCUUUUUGCGGAGAAGGUCUUGUUGCUCCGCCAUGACCUCCCGGCCAAUUUGGAUACAAUAAAGGAACUGGAGGCCCCUCGACUGUCCUCGGGUCCAGUAUUGGACCACUUCGACCGGAUAUCCCCAGCCGAUGUGGACAGACUCCUCCGAGCUGGAAAGCCCACCACCUGUCCUCUCGACCCGUGCCCGUCUUGGCUGAUUAGAGCGUGUCCAGACGAGGUGCGGGCCCUCCUGGGGGAUAUCAUCAAUUUGUCCCUUGGCACGGGGACAUUCCCAGGGGAACUGAAGGAGGCAGUGGUGCGCCCGCUCUUAAAGAAAACAUCAUUAGAUCCUUUAGAUCUAUCCAAUUACCGCCCGGUUUCGAAUCUUCCGUUCCUGGGUAAGGUGAUUGAGAGAGCGGUUGCUGAACAGCUUGGUGGUUUUCUGGAUGAAACAUCAGCUCUGGAUCCAUUCCAGUCCGGCUUCCGCACUGGUCAUGGGACCGAGACGGCUCUGGUUGCCCUAACAGAUGAUCUUCGUAGACAGCUGGAUCGAGGCGGGUCGGGGCUGCUGAUUCUUCUAGAUCUGUCAGCAGCUUUCGACAUGGUCGAUCACGAACUUCUAGACCACCGCCUUGCCGACGUGGGGAUCCAGGGCACAGUCCUUCAAUGGCUGCGCUCGUUUCUCUCUGGUCGGGGACAGAGGGUGGCGCUUGGGGGGGAAUUGUCAUCGCGCCACUCCUUGGUGUGUGGAGUACCUCAGGGUGCGAUACUCUCCCGAUGCUUUUCAACAUCUUUAUGCGCCCCCUCGCCCAGCUUGUUCGGAGUUUUGGGCUGGGUUGCCAUCAGUAUGCCGAUGACACCCAACUCUAUCUGUUGAUGGAUGGCCAUCCUGACUCGGCCCCAGACACACUGACUAGAUGUUUGAAAGCUGUGGCUGGAUGGUUUCGUGGGAGCCGGUUGAAGCUAAAUCCUUCGAAGACAGAGGUCCUGUGGCUGGGACGGGGCGAUAUGGGAUUGGGGGGGCAACUCCCAUCUCUUGCGGGGGCGCAAUUAGUGCCAGCACCGUCCGUUAAGAGUUUGGGUGUAAUCUUCGACACCUCCCUUUCCAUGGAGGCGCAGAUUGCAGCUAUAACAAAGGCGGCAUUUUUCCAUCUCCGCCAAGCUAAGCAGUUGGCUCCUUACCUCUCUCGCCCUGACCUAGCCACUGUGAUCCAUGCGACGGUCACCUCCAGACUGGAUUAUUGUAACUCGCUCUACGUGGGGCUGCCCCUGAGACUGACCCAGAAACUCCAGCGGGUGCAGAAUGCUGCAGCGAGAUUCCUUACGAGGUCUUCGCUGCGAGAUCACAUUCACCCGGUGCUAUACCAGCUGCACUGGCUCCCGGUGGAGUACAGGAUCAGGUUUAAGGUGCUGGUUUUAACCUUUAAAGCCCUAUACGGCCUAGGACCCUCGUACCUACGGGACCGCCUCUCCUGGUAUGCCCCACAGAGAAACUUACGGUCUUCGAAUAAAAACAUCUUGAAGGUCCCAGGCCCCAGAGAAGUUAGGCUGGCCUCAACUAGAGCCAGGGCUUUUUCGGCUGUGGCUCCGAUCUGGUGGAACACUCUGUCACAAGAGACCAGGGCCCUGUGGGACUUGACAUCUUUCCGCAGGGCCUGCAAGACAGAGCUGUUCCACCAGGCCUUUGGCCAGGGCACAGCCUGACUCCCUCCCUCGGCAAUCUUCGCGGAGCUCUGGCCCAAUGGUUGCCAGUGGCUUGAAUUAAUUAAUUUUAUAACGAAUGAUUUUAGACUGUUGUUUAUGCUGUACUUUUGUACUGUUUUAUUGUUGUUAGCCGCCCUGAGCCCGGCUUCGGCUGGGGAGGGCGGGAUAUAAAUAAAAUUUAUUAUUAUUAUUAUUAU